GUAGGGUGGGCAAGCGUUGUCCCGGAAUUAUUGGGCGUAAAGCGCGCGCAGGCGGUCCUUUAAGUCUGAUGUGAAAGCCCACGGCUCAACCGUGGAGGGUCAUUGGAAACUGGGGGACUUGAGUACAGAAGAGGAAAGCGGAAUUCCAAGUGUAGCGGUGAAAUGCGUAGAGAUUUGGAGGAACACCAGUGGCGAAGGCGGCUUUCUGGUCUGUAACUGACGCUGAGGCGCGAAAGCGUGGGGAGCAAACAGGAUUAGAUACCCUGGUAGUCCACGCCGUAAACGAUGAGUGCUAAGUGUUAGGGGGUUUCCGCCCCUUAGUGCUGCAGCUAACGCAUUAAGCACUCCGCCUGGGGAGUACGGCCGCAAAGGCUG
rnacentral:rRNA from 1 species